GAAUGACUGUUUUGUAAGGUUCACACUAGCAGGUAUUUUAUAUACUUUCCUGGGAACUAUGAACCUAACAUAUUGUAUGGGUUCUUAGUGAAACCAUAGAACUGUAGUACUAGAGUUUUAAAUGUUUAUGUGAUGGUACAAAAGCUUUAUUCAAGACCUUUGGACCAUAAUACCUAUGUCCUUGUUAGACAAAUAAUUGGUAGAGACUAAUACAGUAAGAUAAUUAAAAUAUGUAUGGGAUAUUCAUAUGUCUCCUGAAUAUAACACAAAAUCAAGGACUGAUUAAGACCUGAGUCUUACAUCAGGAACAUGGACAGACUAGCUGGCCCAAAUUGAUUAUAUGCACAUUUUUUUUCUAUUACUGUAGACAAGUGGAAAACAUCCCUUCCCAGAAAAAAAAGAAAAAGAAUGACAUAAACAUUCCUAAAAAUAAAACAAAAAAUAA